UCUGGUUUCCGUGCCCAACGUUUGACCGUCCGUCUUAUUUGAAAAAAUUAUGAAAAAAUUAAAAAGACAAGUCACGCAUAAAAUAUUAAUCAUGUUUUAUCAUCUAACAACAAUGAAAAUACGAAUUAUAAAAAAAUUUCAUAUGAGACAGACAGUCAAAGUUGGACACGAAAAUUCAGGGUUUGCCUUUUU
rfam:Oryza glaberrima chromosome 4 Oglab04_0221_38, whole genome shotgun sequence.